CUAUAGUAUUAUCUUAUUCUCGUAAAGGAUUUGGACGAGACGUGUACGCUCGAAGACGUCAGAAAGUCGGAAUGGUAUUGCAAAGCGAAUAAGGGAUGAAUCGAGUAAGCGAAGCGAAGUGGCGAAUAGAGUAUAGCUAGAGAUGGUCUAGAGAUUACGAGAUGCAUAGAUUGUGAAAGUUGAAAGAUGAGGUUGAGCUGUGAAACUGGAGUCAGAUUUAAGGCAAGUAUCCUAAACCUUUCUCUUGGAUAUAUUGCAAAUAUUCUGAUCCAUUCCUUUGGUAUAUGUUUCAAGUAUUCAUACCUUUCUUUUCAAUGUUCUUCUGACCCAUUCUUUCUAAUCUUCAAGUUUCUAAAGAAUUUCCGUUUUACAAAUUAAUUCGAAGUUCAGAUUGUCAUUGAAGCAUGUGUUGCUCAGUGGUAGUUAGAGCUUUGAAUGAAUUGGGAUCUUCUUGAUUAUUCAACCCGCCAUUGUCAUGCUGGUUUAGCAGGCUAAAUUCAGUAAACUUAGCCGAUAAUGGAGGAUACUGAAUAGUUAGGGAUUUCCUGCGAUAAUGGAGGAUACUGAAUAGUUGAGGAUUUCCUGAACUGUGAUUUAUGAAAUGAUGGAUCAUGAUUUAUGAAUAGAUUAUUAUCAAAGUUUGAAUUGGAAUUAUUCUGUUGUUGAUAAUAUUUAUGAUGAUGUUCUGUUAAUUUACAUUGGCUUCUUGAAUUGAAUUAGAGAAUUGGAUUAUUGUUUUUAUAUACUCAUUGAUAUUGAUUGGGUUUAUGUUCUGUUGACCUGUUAUCGAAUUAGAGAAUUGGAUUAUUGUUUUUAUAUAAAUCUGUGGACCAGAUGAGUGGUCAUGUUAGGCCAAUGAGUGCCUUGGAUCCAGUGAUAGAGCAUGGCGGGGCCUGCUCGGGGUUAGUGCGGAACUGAUCAGCUGCCUAACCUUGGUUUUAAUUAAAAUGUGAUAGUCCAAUUCAAUAAUUCUUUGGAAAGAUUGAAUUUCUCAGUUUAAAUGCUGCAAGGUAUUGUAAAUCAUUCUAUACAAUACCAUGAACUCAUGAACUCAGGUUGAAUCCUCUUAUAUCUUGAACUCGUGAACUUCUGUUAUAUCAUUUCAGAACUAUCAUUGUUUAUUAUUACUUGCUGAGCAUUGUUGCUCACCCUUGCUAUUCCUUUCUAACCAUUUCAGAAAGGCUUAAAGAUGAGAUGAUUGAUUGAGAUUGUGAGUAAGGCUAAUGCUAGGCGAGGAGACAGAGUUGAGGAUCCAGUGGUCGAGGAGUGUUCAGGAAAGUUGAUGAGGUUGGUGCAAGCUAGAGCUGUGCUAUAGAGAUUCAAGUGUAAGUCAUAGCUGGAAUAGUUGACAGUGAUUCUUCUUAUCGAAGAUGAUCUGAUUUGGUAAGAGAUGUUGUGUAAUAAUAGUGGUAGAUUCUAAUUUCAAUACUGUAACCUGGAUGCGAUCCUGUUGCUUUUAGGGGGUUUAAAUGUUCUCUUUCGAAUCAUUUAUUAAAGUUUAAAUGUUCUCUUGAAAUUCUCCUAUUAUGGCUUUCAAGUUUGAAAUUCAGGUUUUGAAAUCAUUCGAUUUAUGUUCUCAUUCAAAUCUUUUAUUAAAUGUUUUCAGGUUUUAAAUUCUCUGAUUUUAUUAUCUUUAAAUAAAAAAAUAAAAAAAAAAUUUACAGGUUUUCGAAAGUGUUUUAAAAAGGUUUUUAUUUGCAAAUAAGGAUAAUGCUAGGCGAGGAGACAGAGUUGAGGAUCCAGUGGUCGAGGAGUGUUCAGGAAAGUUGAUGAGGUUGGUGCAAGCUAGAGCUGUGCUAUAGGGAUUCAAGUGUAAGUCAUAGCUGGAAUAGUUGACAGUGAUUCUGCUCACCCUUGCUAUUCCUUUCUAACCAUUUCAGAAAGGCUUAAAGAUGAGAUGAUUGAUUGAGAUUGUGAAUAAGGCUAAUGCUAGGCGAGGAGACAGAGUUGAGGAUCCAGUGGUCGAGGAGUGUUCAGGAAAGUUGAUGAGGUUGGUGCAAGCUAGAGUUGUGCUAUAGGGAUUCAAGUGUAAGUCAUAGCUGGAAUAGUUAACAGUGAUUCUUCUUAUCGAAGAUGAUCUGACUUGGUAAGAAAUGUUGUGUAAUAUUAGUGGUGGAUUCUAAUUUCAAUACUGUAACCUGGAUGCGAUCCUGUUGUUUUAGGGGGUUGAAAUGUGCUCUUUCAAAUAUUUUAUGAUGGCUUUUAUAGGGGACACAAGGUAUACCUGUCUGUGUGAUAGGAGUUGGAUGGGACGCCAUCACUUGUGUGUGUUGUGAUUACAAGAAGGUUAACAACCUUUAGUAGUGUCUAAUAUGGACACGCAACAUUAAGUUCAUUUGAUCGUAUGGAUCUCCCAGUCACUCUUGUAUUCCAAUGUGGCGUAUUUUGAAAAUAUCUUGUUCCUCCGAAAUUUCCAAAAGAUUGAUUCUUGGGAAAUGAAGUUUGCAAUUGUAAAAGUUUUGAUUCUCCUAUUUCUUUAACUGUAAAGGUAUGCCAAGGUUGAUUAAGGGCGGAUGAGCAUGUGAUAUUAUGAAGUGUGUACAAUGAUUUUACAAAUGAUACGUUUUAGUUUUUUCGCGGAUUCCGAGGGCGGAAUCCUUAUAAGGGGGGAAGAAUGUAAUAUCCCAUAUUAUUAAAUUUAGAUUUGAUUAUUAUAAAUCUAUUUGUCUAAAUAUAAUUGUUGGCUUUAAUGGAAUAGUGAUCUGAUUAUGUGAAUAGUGUGUAUGUGAUUAUAUUUGUUAUGUGGAUCAAUAUGGAUUAUACUAAUUAUGCGUUCUCCUUCUUUCUCUGAUUCCGAGGACGGAAUCCCUAUAAGGAGGGUAAAUUGUAAUGACCCGGAUUUUUAAAAAUAUUUUUAUUAGUAUUAAAAGUGAUUUUCUUCAAAGAAGGGAAUAAGAUUUAAUAUUUUAUUCCAGUUUAAGGAGUUUUCAAAAUUUUAUAUUAAACCCCGGGUUAUUGUGUUAGUGAUAAAUGAUUAUAUUUUUAAAACUGAUUUUCAUAUAUUGUUUCGAAAAUUCUGUAUGAAUAUUAUGUGAAUAUAUGUGUGAUGUGAGUAAGUGGUAUUGGUCGAUUUGUUGGUUAAUUAAUUAUGGUUAAUUAUUAAUAUUAUAUGAUUAAUAUAUGAAUUUUUGUGAAUUUUGUAUUAUCUAGUUUACAGAGCUGAAUGCUCAUAUGUGUUCGUAUUUGAGAGAUUUCAAUUUCUAUAUGUUCAGGAGAAAAUAUAGUUUAGUUGGAUAUUUUCAUAUCGAUUUAUGGAAUGUUAGAUGAUUUUAUAAUCGAUUUACGGAUUUAAUUGCGUAUAUUUAUAUUUAUUUAUUAAUUAUUUGACUUCCGUAAAACCGUCCACUCGUAACGAUGUAGCAAAUUUUCUUCCCGAAAGUUUCAACAAAACUGACCUUUAGCCUAAUUUGAAUAUUCCGGACACUUUUCGUGUUUUGACUUUUUCGAUCCGGAGUACGGUUUUCCCCGGAGUCGGUCCGGCGGAGUUUUUCGGGUAUUUUAAUUGUUGAUAAUUAUCCAGUUUGUCUCGAUAAACGUGAAACGAGAUAUUUUGAUUAUUAUACUCAUCCUUAUCUUGUAAUAAUUGCAAUGGGACCCGCAGACCAAUAAUUGAGUUAAAAAGCCCCGUUUUGAUGAUUAUCUUGAAAACCAGUACCGAUUGGACCCCGCUUUAUUAAUAUAAAGCUAUUAAAUACGUAUUUUCAUGUCAUAUACGAUCCAAAGGGGUACCAAUUAUUUGUAAAUAUAAAUAGACCUUUCUAGAGCUUAUUUUCACCCGUAAAAUCAUUUCACCAGUUUCUUUCCACGAAUACCGAGAGAAACCGAGCGGUGUUCUUCGUGUUCUUCAUAAUCAAACGAAGAUUUGAAGGUGUUAUUGGAAUCCGAUGGAGGCGUAUAAAUAGUCAAAACGAAGCUCUUGACGAGUAGAAUCUAGUAUAAUCAUCCGUUUAUAUGCAGAUUGAACAGGUGAUUUUAUUUGAUUUUUAUAAAAUUCGAAUUAUUAAGAUUUAAAUAGUGGAUUUUUGCAAACGUGUUUGUUUGAUUGUUUUGAUGAUUCCAUGUUGUAGUACAUGUUUUUCUCGUCGUUUUGGUAUAUUAUAUGUUGAAUUUCGAGUUCGGAAUCAUAUAGAAAAGUCAGUUUGAUUAUUGGGUUGUGUUCUUGAGUGUUCUUGAAGGUUUGCAAUCGAUUUUGGGGGUUUUUAAUCUGUUAAAUCUGGAUGUUAUUCGAAGGCACCAACACGUUUAGUGCACUGAGUAGAGUUGAUUGGUAGCUUCAGAUUGAGUGGAGGUGGUCGGAGGAGGCCUUGCCGGAGUCCGGCAGUCGAGAAUGAAGGAUGGAAAUCCGGCCAUUUGGCCUCGUUUCUUCAAAUUUUAAGCUGUAGAAUGAGUUUGUGGUGGUGUAUUUAUGGUAUCUGGAGUUGCUGGUGAUUAACGGAGGCCGGGAACAGUAGUUCCGGCGAGUCAAGGGGGCGGCGAUGGAAAAUUUCCAUUUAGCCCCCAGACUUUUGAAGAUGGUGAAGUGUGUGUAUCAUGGUUUCAAAACUUACACAACGGCCCCUGUAACUUUGAAAAGUUACAGUUUAAACCUUGGGCCAAAACUUUCAAAAGUUUACAAAAUAAACCUUUUGAUUUAAUUUUCUAAAAUUGUUUUAUUUAAUUAUUUUAAAUUCCAAAAAUAGUUUUUAAUUAUUUCUUUAUUCAAAAAUAAAUCUAAAUUAGUUUAUUAAUUAAUUUUAAUUAGUAAUUAAUUAUUUUAAUUGGUCAAUUAAUUUAAAUAUUAAUUGAUUAAUUAUUUUAAUUAAUUAUUAAUUGAUUUUAAUUGAUUAAUUAAUUGGAUUUAAUUAAUCCUUUUUGAUUUAAAAAUUCCGAAAAAUAGUUUCGAGCUUUAAAAUAUUUUUCCAAAUUAUUUUCAAGGCUCGAUAAUUGUUUAUGAAUGAUUUCAAGUCCAAUUUCAAGUAUUUGGGACUUGAUUAUUUAUUCGAAAAGUGAUUCUUUUAUCGAUUUUAAUUCCGAAAAAUGUUUAAAAAUUCUGGAAAAUUCCCGAAAAAUCAUUUUUAACCCAAGACUUGAUUUAAUAUCAAUUGGGAUGGGAAACCUUAUGUGUUGUGUGUUGUCUGCUAUUGGUUGGAUGUGUUAUGUGCCGAUAGGAGAGUGAGAAAACUGUUUUGAGCAUAACUUUUGAUCCGUAAGUCGGAAUCAGGUGAAACGAAAGAGAGAAGGAAGCUUAUAACGUCUAUUUUAAUAUGAUGUGACUAUAUGGCUGAGUCUAUAAGGUGGAUAAUUGUUGAUAAGUAUGCAGAAUGUGAUAAUAUGUGAUCUAAGUGCUAUCAAGUGAUGAUUAUGUGAAGUACGUGUUAGUUUUGAUAUUGUGAAGUGAUAAAUGAUUCGUAUGAUUGAUAUUGGAUAAGAAUAUAUGGAUUAUAGCUAUUGGAUUUUGUUGGUUGAUUAAUGAUUGAGAUAGGAUAAUAGGUGGAUAGUCUUAUACAUAGACGAGACGAUGUCGGAUUUUCGAUAAGGAUUUAUAUGAUAAUUGAUUGGUGAUAUGUUAUGUGGAAUAUGAUUGACUAUAUGUUAGAGUCAAAGCAUGCUUAUGUGUUACGUGGUAUCUGAUAAGUUUAAAGGGGUAUAUAAGUGGGUAUCGGUAUACGUGAUAUGUAUAUGCGAUAUAUUGUUUAGUGACUAUAGUAUUAUCUUAUUCUCGUAAAGGAUUUGGACGAGACGUGUACGCUCGAAGAGGUCAGGAAGUCGAAAUGGUAUUGCAAAGCGAAUAAGGGAUGAAUCGAGUAAGCGAAGCGAUGUGGCGAAUAGAGUACGGCUAGAGAUGGUCUAGAAAUUAUAAUAUGGAUAGAUUGUGAAAGUGGAAACAUGAGAUAGAGAUGUGAGACUGGAGUCAGAUUUAAGGCAAGUAUCCUGCACCCUGCUUUUGGAUAUAUUGCAUAUUCUGAUCCAUUCUUUUUAUAUGUGUUGCAAGUAUCCUAAACCUUUCUCUUGGAUAUAUUGCAAAUAUUCUGAUCCAUUCCUUUGGUAUAUGUUUCAAGUAUUCAUAC
rnacentral:lncRNA from 1 species